AUAUGAUAUCAUGUGACAUUACUAAAAUGGCCGUCUGUAACGAAAGUUGCGUGUCGGAUAUAUGUAGUAGCGCUUCUAUGGCGUUAGAACAUUCAUCAAUAUUACAGUUUACUUUGUUUUCUACGGAGAAAUAAAAACAAUCUUGAUAUUACUUGCUACAGAUUGCCUUCGUCAACAAUGAAGACUUCCAAUCAUGUGGCUGUUGCUUCUCAAGCCUUCCCGUUCGGUAACGAACUGAGAGAAAGUGUGCGCCUUCUGUUUAGGUUUUUCUGCAACAACAUCUAUCUUGGACAGUUCGAGUUGGCUCGCGCAUGUGUUCCUUAUUUGGCGCAGCACGGGACCCAUUAUGGGGUCGACAUCGGCCAAAUCCUUAAGCAGAUUGUGGAGUACCCGUAUGGUCGUAGUGUUGGUUCCACUCAACUAAAAUCACCGCACCAUCUCUCCUGGAUAUGUCUGCUGGAGUACCUGAAACUUGAACCUUAUGAACUGAAGCCAUCUGAUGUAGAAACACUGAAACGUGAUGUUGAGUUUCGUAUACUUCUUUCUGAUGCAUCCAGCGCUACUGAUUCAAACACAAUACAGGAGCUGUACAUAUUCCACAAACUCAUACCAAACAGUGAAGAUGAACGGAUGUCAAAUGAUGGAAUUAGUCAGACUUUGUCUCAGAGGACAUGUAACUUCCUCAAGGAACUGCUGCUUACCAAACCAGAACUGGGCAGUGCUAUAAUCAACCACCUGAAAUGCCCAAACAAACCAAACCUCAAACUUCACCAAACAAUGAUGGAACAGGUGUACAUAUCCUGUAUCAACCGGUGUAUUUCAGCUGUGUAUUCCGAAGACUCACUUCUCAGUCAGGUGGAUAAGUGCGAUCAGGUGUACACGAUAUUGUCACUUUUCAAUCCUGACAAUGAGGCAACAGUGUUGAACCUGAAUCAGACAAUUUCUGGCCUUGUUGAUCUCUGCCAAAGAGGAUUGGUUCCUGAGGACCGCAUCCUUUCACUAAUGGCCAGCAAAAAGAAACCAUUUCUCUUGACACAGUUAAGUGAUGAGCUAGCCUCUUCACACAUGAACCAAUUGAUAACCGGUGAUAAGUCCAUCUCAAAACACAGUGAGCUAAAUGAUAACUUGAGGCAACUGCUUACCCUGUCAAAGUGCACAGACCGUUCAUCGAGUUGGCCACAGCUCUAUUUCAAAUGCAUGAAAGACAACCAGCAUUUUUUGGAAAGCUAUGUGGAAGCUGCCAUUAGCUUGAUCAGUUCAGGGAGAUUUGAUGAAUUAAAAGAGCUCUUUGAACCAGAAGAACUGCAACCACUGAAAUCUUUGGUACUUCUUGUUGGAUGGCCUUACUGUUACACCUGUGCUAAUGCAACCUGCUUACUAGAGAUCUUAUUGGAAUCUAAGACACCAUGUCAGCACCCAGCAUUGGACAAGGGCUGCCAAAAACUUCAACAUCAGAUAAAUCUGAUUCGGUGGUGUUUGGAAAAAUCCAGAUCCUUGGUCCAUGUUACUGAUGGCAAAGAAACCAACAUCAACCCACAUUGCCAAGCAACAAACAUCUUCCAAGGACUAGUCAACCAUUCAAUGCUCUAUGUCCUGCAGCAAGCUACACGCCUCGCUUCUCUCAGAGAACAUGAAGUUUUAGACCUGUUGCAGAAGGUUUCCCUCACCAAAACUCCAGCCACUGAUGAAAAGAAAGUAAAAACUGUGAGGUUUGAAGAUCUUGAACAAGACGCCGACUCCGAAGAAGAACCUAUCGGAAUUGAGCAAGAACGAGAUGUUGCUCUCUAUCGCAGUUUCUGCAUCUUAAAGAACGUGCAGGAUGCCAUUUUGUAUGGAGCCCUGCAUGCCCACUCCAGGCUGAUGAACCCAACAUAUUACAACAUCCAGAGUUCCUCCCACAAUUACAGCUGGAGCAAAGACAGUACACUGAGCGAUGCUAGUGAGAGUGGCAGUCGCCUCUCUUCUGCUGCUGGUGAACGAACUUCAGGCUAUCUACCUGUGUGGAAUUCUGACUUUACUGCUGGUGAUAUCCAACAGCUCUACAACAAGAAUGUCUUGCAAAAACUUCAGAAUGCCAAAAACCAUCUGCGACAGCUUUAUCCUCUGGCUUACCGUGUUGAGAUUCUGGAAAAUGUCUUCUCUUUAUUGUUUGUCAGCCACAAAGAACUUCAAGACACUUUCUUCACUACUGAGACCGAUGACACGGAUGACAGUGAUGAGAAACAAAGUGUACAUGACAGCAACGAGAACCUGAUGAACAUCAGUAUCCAAUCUGAAGAGGAAUCUAUCUUGUCUGAAAUAACACAUACGUCUGAAGCAAGUCGUGAUAUUGGAUCAUUGCCUCUUGGGGCUGCUGAAAGUAUUGAAUAUGAUGUCCCAUUUGUAGAGUACUCACCUGAAGAAUUACCUAAGAUAGAAGAAAGCAAGACCGAAGUUUCAGAGCCAGUUGUUGAAGUUAAAAAGCCAUUGCCCCAGCGCCAAGAAUCCCACGUAAAAGAAGCAGAAAUAAGAAUUUCUCGUUUUAGUAUGGACUUGAAAACUGAAAACCGUAAUUCUAAUACAAAAGUCACUUCCCAGUUUGGUAAGCCAUUACAAAUUGGUCUUUUGACCAACGAAUACCUUGUACGAGACAUUCUGGAUUUGCUACAAGAAAGCUUACAGACUUUGAAUGCAACAAAUUUCCAAUUAUCAAACACAACUGUGAUGAAAGAAGAGAAUUUGAAUAUUCUCGACCUUGAGGAGAACCUACCACUCAUUCUGCCAAUGAGCAUCAACCAGUCAUCUCUGAAAAGUCGCAUCUCCAAACUGUCACAAGUUGUCAGUGAAGCCCAGUGGAGGUUUCAGCUUGUCUGCAAUGACCAAAUACCACGGGAGGUCGGUAAGGUCUUGCUGCAUGUGUACAAUCCUUCUGUUGACUCCAUCUGUGAUGAAAGUGUACGUUUCAGUGAUUGUGCCAUGUCAAAGAAAAGCAACAAAAUGUCCAGUUUAUCAGAGAUUUCCCUAACAUCUGGAGAAGAUGGUGAAGUGUGGGAUUCUCCAGGAAUCUGUAGUGAAGGUGCUAGCUAUAUGAAAUCCUCCUCUGCUACUGCAUUGCCUUCAUCAAAGAAAAUAUUAAAGAAACCUCGUUCCCGGUCACGUACACCCAGCAUGUCCUCUGUGGCUUCUGUCAGUCGACGCCUUUCGUCAGGCAUCAUUCAAGAUAUGCUUCUUUCCAACCGUGCAUUACUUGUGAAAUGUUUGAAACAAGGAAAGUUCAUUGAAGCCCACCAAGUCAUCAAAUUGUUCAAGAUGGAGGACUCUGCAGAAGUUGCUGAAGUGACUUUCCUAGAAGCCUUCCUCAAAGCUGUGAACCAAAUACAAGCCUACUGCAAGCAGGCCCAUAACCUCUCCUUGUCAGACUUCACAUCUACCUCAAAAGACUCAAUGAAACAACUUGCUAGUGUUGCUGCUGCUGGUGUUGCAACUGCCACCAUUUCCUCAUGUGCUGCUGAAUUGCUCUCCAUCUCUGUAUAUCCUCAUCUUCCCACCCCACAGAACAUUGCUAGUUUGGUGCCAAACUAUUCUGCCUUUUUCAGUGCUGAUAAUUUAUCAGCUAUGAUACUCUUUGAUCUAGCAUGCAGUGCCUGCAAGACCUAUGACACAUCUAGCAUGAUUCUGGAGUCUAUCAAAGCACAUAUGCAUGCCAAGAAACGCACCUCAUCUGGUUUGUCGAAUAAGGACAUGAAUUUUGAUUUUAGGCCAUCAAAAGAGUGCAAGAUACUUGGUUUCCCUGGUUUUCUUGACAUGCUUGAGUGGCGUGUGCAACUAUCAGACGAUGUUGAGACCUGUCUUCUGCUUGAAACAUCAAAGGCUCUUGCCAACGUAUUUGCUGACAGUAUCCAAACAAUCUUGACGUCUUCCGAGUUUCCAUUUCUUCCAAAGCGCUGUAAGCAGUACCUGGAAGCAAAUAAGUCAUUACAGUUAGCAGUGGUGUCGACUUGGGAACAGUUUCUUGUGAACCAAAAGUACUUUGUCAUGAAAAAGAAGAUCUCCUGGAAACACAAGAAUAUCAUCGCUUCUGAAACCGUGAAGAAUUCUGACGGCCUCUAUUCCAUCUUUGAGAUGCUGCUGAUGACCAUGGAGAAGCAUCGAGAAAACAUCGGAGUUUACAGUUUCUUAACUAGACAAAUCUCAUCUAAUUCUUUGAUAACCAACUACAAAAACUAUUUGUUGAGUUUAUACAAGCACACACAGAUUCUGGCAAACCUGCUCAAUGAUAAUGAACCUAACAGUUCUGAAACUGCUAUAAUGAAGAAUUACUUCAAAGUCUUGGAUGAAGGUCCAGUUAUCACCAUUGGAAAAAUGAUGUUUGGCAAACGAAUACCUCCCCACAAACUUGAGAAAGUUGCUGAAGAUUUAAGCCUUAACCUUACUCAUGUCAUUGUCCACAACUGCUGUCCCAAAAUUCUCAGCAAACAUCAGUCGUCAGGUGAAAUAAAGUUGCCAUGUCAUGAUCUUUCUGGAAAUUCCUUUGGAGGAGUGAUUGUUUUGAACAACAAAGGUGCUUCAACAUCAUCAAGUAAUGCCGAGAAAGAUGUAAGGACAAUACUUACAAAUUUGGUUCACGCUAUGAAAGAUUUGUCUCCAAAACAUAGCGGCAAGAAUGGUUUCAAUGCAGACUGUUUACAAGAGGCAGUGAAGUCCACCCGUAUCAGCAAGACAUUGGACAAAACUGUCAACUUCCGCGAUAUUGAUCUGAGCCAGCUAAAUCAGAUAGAGCUCACCUGUUUUCUAACCAACCUUGUCAAUGUUCUUAUCAUCCACAGUUACAUGUAUAUUGCUAUUCAAGCUGAGCAGCAACAAUGCUGGGACACCUUGAAAGAAAUGUUGCAUGCUGGGAGUCAUUCUGGUCUAUGGAGUGACAACAACAGUAUUGAUCGUAUCAUCUGGCUGAGUCGAUAUGGUUAUCAAGUUGGGCAACUAGGAAUUGUCAGUAUUUUCGAUUUGAGAUACAUUCUCUUAAGAAAUGGUCUGCCACGCCCUGGUCUAUUAGGAGGGCUUUUGGAGGAUCGUAUUGAUGCCCUUGAUAUCUGUGACCCAUGGUCUAUGUUCACACCUCGGCCUGACUACAGAAUCACGUUUGUCAUCUCCAAUGGCUACACAUCUUCACCUCCACUGCAGGUAUUAACACCAGAACUGCUGUCUCACCAGUUGGAGAUUGCUGAGAGGUCAUACCUGAGUAAUACAGUUAGUGUUAAUGUCUCCUCAGCUGGACACAGCACAGUAUUGGUUCCUGACCUUCUGUGUGAGUACCAACAUGAUUUCCCCAGCUCGGAGGAAGCCAAAGUCUACUAUAACUCCCCAUGGGAGGAACUGUUGCUGUACAUUAGGGACCAUGCUGAUACUGAACUUGCAACCAAGUUAACUGAUUUUCUUGAAAACCCCACUACUGAUCGAGAUUCAAGCCUGAAAGUGCUGCCCCAGACUAAUGAUACCAAAUUCUUGUACAUAUUUGAUCCGAGUCAUUUGAAGAAAGUGAUGGAGAAGUCUGAAAGAUCCCAUACGGUGAGCUUGAACCAUGAGCAGAACAUUAAGUACAAUGCUUCUUCCUCCAAACUUGAAGCAGACUACUCAAUGUUCAAACUGACCAGCAAUGCCCUGGAAUACAUCAAAUCUGAAUCUCCACUUGUUGCCACAUUGGUCAGUCUUGUGUGCCAUGACGACCUUGAUAGCAACAGCCAGGAGGACAGUCUUGAAGAGGAUGAACAAGCAAAUGAUGACGAGUCCUGGAUGAAGUCCAAAUCUUCAGUAUCUGAUAUAAGCCUGGUUGAUAUCAAAAGCUACCGCUACCAAAAACUGUCUGUUGACUUCCCUGUCCUGAAACAACGCUUGCUGCAAAACAUAAUACCCCUGGUUCAAACAGAACACUCGGAUGUAAAUUUUGGAGAUGAAGCCCUGUUGAAGUUUAUGUCUUCGGAAAUUUCCUGUGAUAUCAAAAUGGCCAUUCUCAGCUUGCCAGACAGCAAGAAAUACUUAUCGGUGGUUUCUCGUUUACUCAAUGAAUGCAUACAUUCCAGAAAAUGGCUGCAAGCAUUGAACAUCAUAGACAGUCUACCGGUGACUCUGAAACAAGAGAAUGGUGAUUUCAUCCUGCUCCAUGAUUUCGUUCUAUGUUGCCUUGCCAAAAAAGCGUGUGAUGAAGAAGACAAAAAACUAGAGGCUUAUGCCAAGAUGUUCUACAACAGUGAAAUCCAAGUGCGGACCAUUUUGAAUAUUGUAAGGGGCCUUCCGUUGAAGAAAGGGAUUGAACUUUUGGAAGCGUGUCUUUCCAAAGAACUUUCUGUACAACUUCGUUCAGCUGUGAUUUCCAAAUUAAAGCAACUCAAGAUAUUUUGUAAGGUCUCAGAGUGUGUUUCCACUGUAGAAAAGCGGGCCUCUUUUGACUGCACAGGAAUUGCUCCAUAUGAGAAGGAAAAUGAACUUUCCGGUAUGUUGCAAUGUCUUCAUUGCUGGACUGACAUACCAUCACUGUCAACUUCGAACCCCGCCAGCGUCCUUUCUGUCAUACUUGAGGCUGAAGACUUUGACACAGCUCGAGAGUGGGCAGACUUCUUCUCUGUUGACUUGCCGUUGCUUGAGUGUAUAGAGAUGAAAGAAAUCAUGUUCUUUCUCAGUCACGGACCUUCUGAUCCCAAGGAAGCAUUCAUGGCUUUAGAGAAAAUGCAGGCAGAAGAUGAAUACAAGUGUCUGAGAAUUUGUAAUGGUCUUAUGGAAUCUCUGAAUCGACAGCAAGACAUUUUAUUCAUUGCAAGCUACAUGCUGAACUACCUUGAAUCCAACCUGGACCCACAGAGACAAGAACAGUUACGCCUUACCUGUAUCGGAGCCAAGGCUUUGCUGUGUCUUCCCAACUCUAUUAGGGGUGAAUAUCGGCACUUGGUAUCAGCCCCACAACUCCUGUUGGAGCAGCUGCUAAUGAACAUGAAGGCCGACCUUGCAGGACAAGUGUUUUCCAAGAUACAAAAUGACUUCCGACGCAUUCAGGAUUGCAGUCUUUGUUUCUCUAUUGAAAAUUUUGAUGACCUUGUUGCAAAAUAUGCCACUAAAGCUCUUGAAUUUCCUAUAGUCCAAGUUCUAAUUCAAGGGAAGGAUAGAAGCCAGUCCCGAUUGUCUUUGAUGUCAGACCGUCAGGACUUGGAUAGUGUUAGUGUGGCAUCGAAGAACCAUCAGUCAGAAACUGGAAGCACACGGAUGCGGAGACGAGGAUCCGAUACAUCCUUGAACCGGUCUCCUGGAAAGAACAUGGACAAUCAUCAACACAGGUCUGUUGGUACUACAGGCAGCAAGUACCUUUCUCUCAACUUGGGUACCGGCAGUAAAUUCCAAAUGCCACCAGAGCCACCUCACAAAGACCAGUGGGUCCCAGAUUCUACAACUGCUGUCUGUAUGGUUUGUCGUGUUGAGCGAUUCAGCAUGUUUAAUCGACGUCACCAUUGCCGUAGAUGUGGUCGUCUUGUUUGCAGAGGAUGUUCCGGUAGAACCACCCUCAUCUUUGGCAUGAUAGCCCGUACUUGCGAUGAUUGUUUUGAACAGAUAUCACGAUCAAGUAUGAAAGAUGAAAAUGACAGGACUCCCUAUCGUCCCAAAGAUUCUCAGUCACGAAGUAGCGAUGAGCCCCUGAACUAUAGUCCAAGUUUAACCUCAUUUGCUCCCAAAGACCAUUUCAGCUUUUAUGACCUGGCCGGUGCCAUCCGUCAAACAGAACAUCCUUGGAAACUGAAGCUUGACCCUGACUACAACAGCGAUCUUCUGGAAGAAUUUUACUAUGAACAGGCACCGAGUGCAUCUUUGUGCAUUUCCAUACUCAAUGUGCACAGUGAUCCUCGAAAAUGCGGAGAGCUGAUUCUUAAGCUUUGUGACGACCUUUCCAAACUGCUGAAACCCAUCUCACCUGGAAUGGCAAAUAGUGAAAUAGACUACAGCCUAGUCAUUAGCAUGAUGAGACAUCUGUUGUUCCAUGCAAAGGUGCGGUUUACCAGGUGCAUGGAAAAUCGCUUGAUGAUUUUGUGCGACCAAUACUCAACUCUUGUUGAUUUGCUAAAGGUACUACUUGCCUCCAACUACCCUGACCUUCCAUCCAUACAGGAACUCACGAAGAGUGAAUCAGUGACACGCUUGCGAGAUAAACUUAUUGAAGUAGAACGCUUGCCGCUUGCUAUGGAAGUUUCCACAAAAUGUGGUCUUGAUGCCACAGGUGUGUGGGCUGCAUGGGGACGAGCUUGCCUUCGCUUCCGCAAUUAUCCUUUGGCACGAGAAAAAUUUGCUCGCUGUUUAAAGCCACCACGAGACCGCAACCUAACCCAACAUUCAAAUGCAUUGCUAAUGGAAGUUGUGGAAUGUUUGGAGUCAAUGCCUAAUAGAGAAAGCACUGAGGUGUCUGUGAAAGAUUUCAGUCUUUCAAAAAGUGAUCAACAUGACAUAAUUAAUGAGUCGUUUAGUCGGCGGUUUUCCGAGGAAAGUAACCUGGAUAAAGUGCGUUUUGAAGAAUGUGCCCACUAUCUGGAGAUCUACGGGACAUAUACUAAUGUGGUGGACUUUUACCGAAGAAAUGGUCACUGGUUCCGAGCUAUCCAAUUCAUUCUUGACCAUCAAAGUAGUCCGGAGGUGUUUGAAGAAAGUUUGCUGAUUCCUGCCCUGAAGUCUGGCAACCUGCGUACCUUGCUUGACAAGAUGCUCGUCAUAGACACAUCCCUGGAGAAAUGGAAUGUUUAUUUUACCAGUGCCUGUCGCUAUCUUCUGAACCAUAAGCUAUAUCAUGUCCUUUAUGAAGUUCAGCUUUUCAUGAAGGAUUUCAUUCGAGCUUCAAUGACAUGUACUCGAUACUUCUACUUAGGAUCUGGACAGAGUUAUGGAGACUUGGCUUCAGGUAUAAAUUGCCUCUAUGAAGCUGAGAAGCACCUGCACUCUUAUCUUGAACCGUCCCAAUGGGGAAAUGUGCCAAAACCACAUUUCUUGGCCAGUCUAUCCCCUGGUGCUACACCACAAAAGAGUUCAUCAUUGAUGUCCACUGAGAUGGAAGAGACGGCUGUUCGACUGAUCAAAGUACCGUCCGAAGUGCAAAAGCAAAUUCUUCGAAUCAGAUUGCAAAUUGAAGUGACCAAGUUCUUGGAAGCCUGUCUGAACAAAGCUGAUAAUUCUGCUGCCAAUGUUGCUGCCAGCUACUUGGCAUCCCACAAAUAUGGGGCACCAACACUUUUUGGAAAUGCUCAGAUCCGCAUGGACUUGGUCACAAUGAUAUUGCUGAGCUGUGAUGGUUCAGAGGAAGACCGAAAAGAAGGUUAUGACAUAGUAUUGAGAAUAAUCAAGGAAUACAGGUUGGACAAGAAGACAACCUUCUGCCAUGUCGGUCGAGGCCUAGUCAAGCUUCAUCGCUACAAUGACAUCAAGUUCUUAGUCAACUGGAUCGCUGCCAAUAAACUAGGAGACAGCAGGAUGUGUGAUGCUGUCAUUGAUGCUUGCUUGAUAGGCAUUGCAGACAAGAGGCACACGUUUACUGAGAUGCAACUGAAGGAGUCUGGAAGUCUUAUUGACUAUAUCAAAGCUGAUUCUAAUAAAAUCAAUGCGUAUAUCCUGUUGGGGAAACUGAAGACUGCAUAUCUUUUGGCUGUGAAAAGCAACAACACUGAAGAAAUUCGCCGUAUCGGACGAGAAGCCAGUCGAGUGGGCCAGAUGUCUGUGAAAAAUAUCUGUGAUCGUUAUCUGCUUCAACAGAAACCUUAACUCAACUAAACAUUAGGGUGUGUUUUGUUUGUUUUGAAUUAUGUUUUUUCACUGUUCUCUGCCACCGCAUUAAGAUAACAACUGAUAGCCUGCCCAUUCAAGCUGCCACAGGAGUAAGAUUGGAUAUAUAUCACUGAUCAAAUUCAAAGCCCAGCAAUACAUACAUGCAUACACAUGCACAUUCAUACACACACACACACACACUCACACAUACGUGUGGAUGUUUCUUUUUUCAUUUUGUCU
rnacentral:misc_RNA from 1 species